rnacentral:miRNA from 1 species
CUUCCAGUCGGCGAGGUACAUGUACCUCGCCGGCUGGAAGGAAACCCUUCCAGCCGUCGAGGUACAAGUGCCUCGCCGGCUGGAAG